GCCAGAGUGGCGGAAUUGGUAGACGCGACGGAUUCAAAAUCCGUUUCCCGUAAGGGAGUGCCGGUUCGAUCCCGGCCUUUGGUA
rnacentral:tRNA from 1 species